rnacentral:rRNA from 1 species
AUUGAACGCUGGCGGGAGGCCUAACACAUGCAAGUCGAACGAGUGGCGGACGGGUGAGUAAUGUCUGGGAAACUGCCUGAUGGAGGGGGAUAACUACUGGAAACGGUAGCUACUACCGCAUACCAUCAGAUGUGCCCAGAUGGGAUUAGCUGGUGGGUGGGGUAACGGCUCACCUAGGCGACGAUCCGUAGCUGGUCUGAGAGGAUGACCAGCCACACGGUGACUGAGACACGGUCCAGACUCCUACGGGAGGCAGCAGUGGGGAAUUUUGCACAAUUGGCGCAAGCCUGAUGCAGCCAUGCCGAGUGUAUGACGAAGGCCUUCGGGUUGUAAAGUACUUUCAGCGGGGAGGCGUUACCCGCAGAAGAAGCACCGGCUAACUCCGUGCCAGCAGCCGCGGUAAUAC